GUGAGGAAUAUUGCACAAUGGGCGAAAGCCUGAUGCAGCAACGCCGCGUGAGUGAUGAAGGCCUUUGGGUCGUAAAACUCUGUCCUUGGGGAAGAAAAAAAUGACGGUACCCUUGGAGGAAGCCCCGGCUAACUACGUGCCAGCAGCCGCGGUAAUACGUAGGGGGCGAGCGUUAUCCGGAAUUAUUGGGCGUAAAGAGUGCGUAGGUGGUUUUGUAAGCGUAGGGUGAAAGGCAGUAGCUCAACUAUUGUUAGCCCUGCGAACUGUGAGACUUGAGUGCAGGAGAGGAAAGUGGAAUUCCUAGUGUAGCGGUGAAAUGCGUAGAUAUUAGGAGGAACACCAGUGGCGAAGGCGACUUUCUGGACUGUAACUGACACUGAGGCACGAAAGCGUGGGUAGCAAACAGGAUUAGAAACCCGUGUAGUCC
rnacentral:rRNA from 1 species